AUGGACGCAAGUCUGAUGGAGCAACGCCGCGUGAGUGAAGAAGGCUUUCGGGUCGUAAAACUCUGUUGUUGGAGAAGAAUGGUCGGCAGAGUAACUGUUGUCGGCGUGACGGUAUCCAACCAGAAAGCCACGGCUAACUACGUUGCCAGCAGCCGCGGUAAUACGUAGGUGGCAAGCGUUAUCCGGAUUUAUUGGGCGUAAAGCGAGCGCAGGCGGUUUUUUAAGUCUGAUGUGAAAGCCCUCGGCUUAACCGAGGAAGCGCAUCGGAAACUGGGAAACUUGAGUGCAGAAGAGGACAGUGGAACUCCAUGUGUAGCGGUGAAAUGCGUAGAUAUAUGGAAGAACACCAGUGGCGAAGGCGGCUGUCUGGUCUGUAACUGACGCUGAGGCUCGAAAGCAUGGGUAGCGAACAGGAUUAGAUACCCUGGUAGUCCAUGCCGUAAACGAUGAAUGCUAGGUGUUGGAGGGUUUCCGCCCUUCAGUGCCGCAGCUAACGCAUUAAGCAUUCCGCCUGGGGAGUACGACCGCAAGGUUGAAACUCAAAGGAAUUGACGGGGGCCCGCACCAAGCGGUGGAGCAUGUGGUUUAAUU
rnacentral:rRNA from 2 species